CCAGACUCCUACGGGAGGCAGCAGUGGGGAAUCUUCCGCAAUGGACGAAAGUCUGACGGAGCAACGCCGCGUGAGUGAUGACGGCCUUCGGGUUGUAAAGCUCUGUUAAUCGGGACGAAAGGCCUUCUUGCGAACAGUUAGAAGGAUUGACGGUACCGGAAUAGAAAGCCACGGCUAACUACGUGCCAGCAGCCGCGGUAAUACGUAGGUGGCAAGCGUUGUCCGGAAUUAUUGGGCGUAAAGCGCGCGCAGGCGGAUCAGUCAGUCUGUCUUAAAAGUUCGGGGCUUAACCCCGUGAUGGGAUGGAAACUGCUGAUCUAGAGUAUCGGAGAGGAAAGUGGAAUUCCUAGUGUAGCGGUGAAAUGCGUAGAUAUUAGGAAGAACACCAGUGGCGAAGGCGACUUUCUGGACGAAAACUGACGCUGAGGCGCGAAAGCCAGGGGAGCGAACGGGAUUAGAUACCCCGGUAGUCCUGGCCGUAAACGAUGGGUACUAGGUGUAGGAGGUAUCGACCCCUUCUGUGCCGGAGUUAACGCAAUAAGUACCCCGCCUGGGGAGUACGACCGCAAGGUUGAAACUCAAAGGAAUUGACGGGGGCCCGCACAAGA
rnacentral:rRNA from 1 species